rnacentral:rRNA from 1 species
CAGUAGCCGCGGGAAUACAGAGGGUGCGAGCGUUAAUCGGAUUUACUGGGCGUAAAGCGUGCGUAGGCGGCUUCUUAAGUCGGAUGUGAAAUCCCUGAGCUUAACUUAGGAAUUGCAUUCGAUACUGGGAAGCUAGAGUAUGGGAGAGGAUGGUAGAAUUCCAGGUGUAGCAGUGAAAUGCGUAGAGAUCUGGAGGAAUACCGAUGGCGAAGGCAGCCAUCUGGCCUAAUACUGACGCUGAGGUACGAAAGCAUGGGGAGCAAACAGGAUUAGAUACCCCCGUAGUCCCUGUCUCUUAUAC